UACGUAGGGUCCGAGCGUUGUCCGGAAUUACUGGGCGUAAAGCGCGCGCAGGCGGCCCGCGAGGUGUCACGUGAAAGCCCCGGGCUCAACCCGGGAGGGUCGUGGCAAACCGGCGGGCUUGAGGCCGGUAGAGGUGGGUGGAACUCCUGGUGGAGUGGUGAAAUGCGUAGAGAUCAGGAAGAACACCCGUGGCGAAGGCGGCGCACUGGGCCGGUACUGACGCUGAGGCGCGAAGGCGUGGGGAGCGAACGGG
rnacentral:rRNA from 1 species